AACAUCUCGGAACCAUUAGAUUAAGUUCGUCCUUUGCUCCUCUUCACCAUUUGUUCUCCUUCCAUCCUCACCUGCUUUACUUUCUUCACUACUAGCAAUCUUCAGAUGAAACAGUUUUUCAUUACUUUUUUUUUUCACUGCCUCCCUUAUUCCUUCCCUCCAUUCCAUUUCUUUGCUCUUUGUUAUUUUUCCUUUUCUUUUUUAUUCCAUUUCUUCGUCUCUUACUGUCCUUCCUUCCUUCUUUCCUUCGUGUUCUCCUUCACAGCCUUUCUCUCAUACACUCCAAUCAUUCAGUGAGCGAAUCCUGUCUUCAUUCCUGUCUCUUCAUUUACUUCUCUCUCACGCUUUCUUUUCUUCGUUCCUUUCCUUUCUCUUCUCAGAUCUCCUCGCAUACACUCCACGGUCAUUCAGUCUUGUCUUUUCUUUCUUCCCUCUCUUUUUCCUCCCUUACUCCUUAACUUCCCUCCCUCUUUUCUCUCCUUCCUAUCCCUCCAAAUCUUCUUGUCCUACAUUCCAGUUUGUGAUGUUGUCCUAUAUUCUUUUUUCUCCUGGACUUUCAAUGAAGAUAUCCAACUUUCCUCCCGUCUCUCUCUCUCUUUUUUUUUUACAUCCUUACGUCCAUUCCUCUCUCCUUCCUUCCUCCUCUCUCUUGACUUCCUUCCGUCCAUUACUCUCUCCCGCUCAAUCCUCUUCACACUCCACUGGCUUCCCUCCUCUCUGACAGAUGUUGGUUGGGUGGUGGUGGGUGUUCUGCAUGUUGCUCACCGCUGCUUACCGCUCGUCCCUCAUCGCCCACCUCUCCGUGCCUGACAAGUCCCCGGCCAUCAACACACUGGAGGAGCUGCUGCGACAGGAAGGCUGGACGUGGGGCAUGGAGGGUACCUAUGGCUCCGGGUGGCAGUGGUUCAAGGAAAGCUCUGUACCCACUGUCAGGCAGGUGUACGCCGGGAUACAGGUGCUGGGGGCAGAGGAACACCUGGCGCGGGUGCUUGAGGGUCAUCACGCCUUCCUCACCUGGAAAUACUACAUACGUUCGCUAAUAGGGGCCCACUACACCAACCGGCUGGGCUACACACCACUACACACCAGCCGGCAAGAGUAUAUUAACUAUGGUGGUUAUGGAUGGGGGUUUAGACGACGCUUGCCACCUGCACAACGCCACACCACACGCCACACGCCAAACACCGGCUUUGUGGUGGCACUGCCUCGGGCCAGCACUCUCCUGCCCGCCCAGUUUUCACUUCAGCCUUUUAUUUCCUUAUCAGUACAACAGUGAAGUGAAAAUAACUGGAAAUCAACGUUUUUUUUUAUUUCCUAUUUUGUAAUGACUCAUCCCGUAGAAGAGGCGGGGUGUUUCAAGUAGGUGAAAAUAUCCGUGAUGAAAUCGAUAAGACCAAUAUUGAUUUGAGUGAAAUAGUUCAUGCGAGAAAGAGAGAGAGGCGGUUGGUAGCAGGAAACACUGGAGGGCAGAGGUAGUGCAGGUUGAUGGCAUGGUCAGGGGCGUGGUACAGUGUGGCCUGGAAACAUGGAGCAUCGGCAUAACGUAAAAGAGAAACGCCCGGGAAGUUUAGACAAUGUGUACGAAUAAAAGUGUUAGACAUCAAUGAAUGGUUGGGUUAGUUUAAUUGAUUCAUUACGCUAUAGGUGAGAGCGUUCGAUAAUAGUUCUAAAUUAAGCCAGUAAUGGAAAAGACUGGAGAGAAUUCACGACUGAUACGAAAAGUUGGAAAGAUAAUGAACUAACUCGAAAAAAAAGAAGAUAUGAAAAAAGUUUAAAGGGGGAUGAAGGGAAUAUGCAAGAAAGGAUGUUAUAGAAGAUACAAAGAGCAAAUAAGACGAGAUGUGAGAAAAUGAAAUAUGAGGUGAAAGGUACAUACAUGGAAAGGUGUUUAUAAGAUUUUCAAGAAGCAAAUAGGACGGGAUGUGAAAAGUAGAGCAUGAGGUGAUGGGUGUUUAAGAAGGUACACAUAAAGCAAAUAAAACGUGAUGUGAAAUAAAUAGGACAUGAAGUGAAGGAAAUAUACAUAGAUGUUGUUUAUAUAUAGUGCAAGAAGCAAAUAAGACGGAGUGUAAAAUAAAUAAAUAAAUAAAUAAAUGAAUAAAUAAAACAUGAGGCAAUGUGUGCUAUAGAAGAUACAAUAAAAAAAUAGAACGGGAUGCAAAACAAAACAACUCGUGGUUGCUGAAAAAAAGAAAAUGGAAUGGUACUUAUAUAGACUGAUUGAUAGUUAUAUUUAAUAUUUUGACUGAAUCGUGGACUCAUAUAAGAUUCAGACAUUCAAGCUUCCCCCGGAAAGUAUCCUUACCAAAUAACGAUUAAUUUUGACUCUGAACGAAGAAAGUUAAAAAAAAAAAAAAAAAAAAAAAACGUACUUCGAGCUCAAAUAUGAUACCUUCGGCGCAUCACUUAAGGGUUCGAAUCACGGAACGAUACAACACUUGAACUUCGUGAUGCUUCAGACAACCGGCUUGCCAACUGUACCGAAACUGCUGUAGUCACUCUGCAUUGACACUCGGCGUUCACGAGAAUGUACAUAUUUUUUUUUAUGUGACUAAAUACGAGACGAACGGACCAAGAAUAGGAAGAAAGAAGGAAGGGCGCGCCCAUCCGCCACAGCAUUGACCGGAUGAAGCAGAGGCUAUUGGAGGCGGGGUUGGUCAAGCAUUGGAUGGACGACCUCAUUGCCACGGCUAGCAGGGCAGCCCGUGCCUUGAGCACCUCCCGC